CACAAUGUCUGAUUUCCUUUUCUUUUCAGCGUUGAAUGUAAUAGGUUUGUUUGAAAACCGGGGGUUGAGGAUCCCUUCGUGACCUCUCAUACCCUGCUGUUCACAAGCGGAAUUACGCUGAAUUUCCCCAAACCAGGGGUAACUAGGGGUUGGCGAAAUUAUGAUUAAAACAAUCAAUGACCUGCUUCGCCUGGCCCACUUCUGAUCCCUGCGGGGCCAAUAUCCUCACGCUUCUCCCGAGAAAUCAUUUCCAUGGC
rnacentral:sRNA from 2 species